rnacentral:lncRNA from 1 species
CUUCACACCUUUGGUCUCAAGGUUAGGAUUCUCAAAACUCAUUAAAAAAAUUCGCACAAAGUUAGAUUCAUAGAAAUUUUUUUUUUCCACACUACAUUGCUAAAGUUUCACAUAUCUUUGAACUUGCAGAUUCCUCUAAGGACUAACACAACACUAUUGUGCAUAUUGUUGGAAUACUAUGGAUCUAUACAAUGCAAAGGAAGCAAGGAAACACAGGCAUCUUAUCCUGGCUGAAAAGAGGAGGAGAUUAAGCGAAGACGGGCAAAAAGGUAUCUUAAAUCUUAAUCUGAACUUUUUAUUCAGGUAUAAUCAUCUAUUCAAAAACAUGUCCGACUAAUAUUGAAUUGAUUUGCAGAAAAUCUUUGCCUCCAGAACUGGCCAAAUACUACUACGAAGGGUUCACUUCAUACGCUUCAGGAAAAGUUGACAUCCCUCAAAAGGAAGCCACUCACACCAAACUUCACAGGCAUGUUUUAAUUGUUGUGCUCCAGCUAUGUAACAUUCAAACUAGAAGCCUUUUCAUGUAACUCAAAAAAUGUGGUUUAUAUUUUAGUUUGUAGUACUAAGGCAAGAGGUCAAAUCCAUAGAAAUAAUACAUGAAGUUGCUAUAUUUUUU